UACGAAGGGGGCUAGCGUUGCUCGGAAUCACUGGGCGUAAAGGGCGCGUAGGCGGCCUGUUAAGUCGGACGUGAAAUCCCUCGGCUCAACCGGGGAACUGCGUCCGAUACUGGCGGGCUUGAAUUCGGGAGAGGGAUGUGGAAUUCCAGGUGUAGCGGUGAAAUGCGUAGAUAUCUGGAGGAACACCGGUGGCGAAGGCGGCAUCCUGGACCGACAUUGACGCUGAGGCGCGAAAGCCAGGGGAGCAAAGCAGGGAUUAAGAUGACCCGUGUAG
rnacentral:rRNA from 1 species